AUUGAACGCUGGCGGCAGGCCUAACACAUGCAAGUCGAGCGGGGUUUUCGGACCUAGCGGCGGACGGGUGAGUAAUGCGUAGGAAGCUACCCGAUAGAGGGGGAUACCAGUUGGAAACGACUGUUAACACCGCAUAAUGUCUACGGACCAAAGUGUGGGACCUUCGGGCCACAUGCUAUCGGAUGCGCCUACGUGGGAUUAGCUAGUUGGUGGGGUAAUGGCUCACCAAGGCGACGAUCCCUAGCUGGUUUGAGAGGAUGAUCAGCCACGCUGGAACUGAAACACGGUCCAGACUCCUACGGGCGGCAGCAGUGGGGAGCAUUGGACAAUGGGCGCAAGCCUGAUCCAGCCAUGCCGGGCGUGUGAAGAAGGCCUUCGGGUUGUAAAGCACUUUCAGUAGGGAGGAAGGGUGUUGUGUUAAUAGCACAGCAUUUUGACGUUAUCUACAGAAGAAGCACCGGCUAACUCUGUGCCAGCCGCCGCAGUAACAC
rnacentral:rRNA from 1 species